CUCUCCGUACUGUUGAGAGAGCCCUCUUGUAUCUCUCUCGAUUACUCUUUUAACAAGAGAAAACUUCAAGAACCAGAAACAUUGCUGGAGCUUGAGAAAGAGGGAGAGAGGACUAAAGUGGGUUUUCAUUGAAAAUGUCAAUACCAAAUCUUGAAAAUUGCAAGAAAAGGAAAAGAUGGCCAAAACUCUAUGAUUUCAACACAUUUUGUGAACCGGAUUGCCCCAUUAAUCCUAGGGGUCCUUUCCGCGAUAACAUGCGGCUUUUUCUUCAACAAUGUGCAGAACCUGAAGAUUAUAAAGUAGAGGGCAUGUCCAUUUGGUGUACUUUGCUUGUUAUUGAAAGUAAAAACUUUGUUGUUCCACUUUACACCAUUGAAGAAGAUGUUAAGGAGUCAGUUAGACCCUUUUGUGAUCUGUGCAGAUGCAACGGUUGGAGUCACAAUUCUGUUUCCAAAAGAAAGUAUCAUAUGAUAAUACCAGUUGAUAGCGAGUGGAGUCAGAAAUUGGAGGAUGGCGUUUGUGAUCUACAGACACACCUCUUGCAUGGGUUGAUUCACUGUAAUGGUUUUGGUCAUUUACUAUGCAUAAAUGGGAGAGAAGGGGGUUCCAAGUAUCUUUGUGGCCGGGAAAUCAUGGAUCUUUGGGAUCGUAUUUGUGCAAGUCUUCGAACUAGGAAAAUCACUGUUGAGGAUGUAUCAAAGAAGCGGUCCAUGGAUCUUCGCCUUCUUUAUGGGAUUGCAUAUGGACAUCCAUGGUUUGGUAGAUGGGGAUACAAGUUUUGCCAUGGAAGCUUUGGUGUGACAGAGCCCAUAUACUUCAGAGCAAUUGAAAUUCUGAGCACUAUGGAACUUGAGAAGAUCAUUCAAGAUUUCAGUGACACGAGCCUAAGCAAAAGCAUAAAGCAGAUAAUUCACUACUACAAAGACCUGAGUCCAACCCAGCUGAUCACAUUCAAAGAUUUUCUUCGUUUCAUGCUUGCCAUCAGAUCCUGUCCCUGUGUAUGGAAGAAACAAAGCAUGACUGCCACCACCACUUCAAAGCCUCCUAUCAAUAUUGUUCUCCGGAGAAAGCCACUCAUAAAGGAGAAAUGCAUGAAGUACAGAAAUUUUAGCUCGUUGGUUGGUACAAUGGACAGCAGAUGGCCUACGAGAAGACUGCAAUAUGCAGCUGAAGUGAUUGUGGAUGCAUUGAAAGCAAAGAAGGAGGACAAACACAGUCAAGAAGGAAUGACUAGACAAGACGUGAGAGAUGCAGCUCGAAUGCACAUUGGUGAUACAGGCUUGCUUGAUUAUGUUCUGAAAUCAAUGAACAAUGUGGUUGUUGGAAAGUAUGUUGUCCAGCGGGCAGUUAACCCAAAAACAAGGAUUCUGGAAUACUCAAUUGAGGAGUUUGGUGACGGGAUUAUCCCUGUCAAGUCUGAACCAGAAUCUGAAACAGUUCCGGCACAACCUCUUUUGCCUGGAGCUGAUGUUAAUGCUGAUGUGGUCUUUGUAUACGAGAAUGUGCUGUUUAACUACCCAGAAUCAGAAUUGGUUGAAGUAGCAACUCAGGCAAUUCUAGACAGCAAGCAUUUUGUGAAGGAGUGGCCUUUCAGGGUUGAGAAUGAUCAGUUGUUGAGUUUCAUAUGCCAAGUGAUGCCAACUUGGAAUGAUCUUGAAGCUAAAUUUCACAGGAAAGCUCCUCCUGGCGAGAUUAUCGUGCUUCCAUUGCAUGCUUCUGUGCUGGAACUAAAGCAAGAAGCAGAAAGUGCAUUGCGAGACACAUACUGCAUGCUGGAGAGUUUUGUUGUUAUAGAGAUAGAACACAUGGAAAACCUAGAUGAUAAGGACUUGCUGUGUAAAUUUGUCAAAUCCGGUGCAGAGAUUUUUGUGAAAGGGUAUGGCAUGGACAUAAAUUCUCAGUUGCGGUAUGAAGGUGGGUCAGAUAACUGGAAAGUAAGAUGUGAAUGUGGGGCUUGUGACGAUGAUGGGGAGAGAAUGGUAGAAUGUGACAUUUGUGAGGUGUGGCAACACACACGCUGCAAUGGAAUUGAUGAUGCUGAUACAGUACCACAAUUGUUCAUUUGUUCUGGAUGCUGUGAUUCUCUACUGCCAGGAAAAACUGAAACUCACCAGAGAUUUGAGAGUUCUGAUGAUUUGUUGAUGAUUCCUGCAGCAAUUGGAUAUGGAGCAGAGGCUGCAGAACCUUUUUACCAAGCUUGAAUGCGCUUUGACAAUGACGCUUUGGUUGAUAUGAGCUGAAAUAUCAAUAAACAGUGUUGGAAGGUAUAUUCCAGCCAGCCUGUAGUGCCUGGAGCUGAUAUCUAUGCUGAUGUGGUUUUUUAUAAAUGAUGAACUUUUCGACAACCCAGAACCAGAAAUUGGUUCCAUCAGCAACCCAGGCGAUUUAGGACAUCAAGGAAUUCCACUGAUCAACGAGUGUUAGGGAACAAAACAGAUUGUCUGGUAUAAUUCAUAUUUCUUGUCAGAUGCAUAUUCAGGUGCAGAAUAUAUUUACUACUCACAUGUUCAUCUAACAAGCUAACAAGCCCUAUCUAACUUUGAGCUUGGUUUGAGCACCUUAAACUCAAUAUGCUGCUAUUUCAAUCAUAAGAGUUUCGUGUAGUCCCCGAUUUAGCACUGCAAAUAUAGUGCUGGCCAACUUAAUUCCUAUUCUUUUUGUUCGCUACAUAUUUGAACACUUUGUUUUCAAGCUUUUGCAGUUACAAGCUUCUGUUGAAAUGGAUACAAUCCCUAGCAUAACACUUAAAGAAGUAAAUACAGCCCCUAUCUCCCGUUUCUGUUUGCAACACAUUUUCUAUCAAUCGCACGAAUUUAUUGCUGAGAGAAUGCUAUUAAUCAAUAUGCAUAAUUCAUUCUUGAAGCCCUAACAGCUUCUUUCUUGUAUAAAUCUGUAGUUUAAUAAUCACUGCAGUAGUUAUUCCCCAUGAUAUAACUGUGGGCACAAGAAAUUUGUGCAGGCUGCAAAGAACAUUCUUUUUGGUCAAUAUUUUUUCGUUUCUGUAAAUGCCUUCACUGUUUCAAGAUGUAGAGCAGCCAUAAUCUAUAUGUACUGUGCACACCGGGAAUUUG